CGGAGGUGGGCCGGCGGCGGCGGCGGCGGCGGCGCGCGAGGUCACCGCGGUGGCAUUCCUCCCCGCGCGCUGUUUACGUGACUUAAUGUGCUGCCUGCGCCGCGGCUUGUUAUCUAGGCCACCCAUGACCGACGAAAGAGCCUGCCUCCCUGCUUCUCCCAAGGCCGCUUUAAACCAAAUAAAUUUAGCUAUUAAGGGCCAAGAUGCCUGGCAAAAGAUCGAAAGGUGUCUAUCCGCGAUCGCUUAGAGAAGCGAAGGAGAAGCCCGUGGCUCUCUGAUCCCGAUAAAGACAUUCCGCCCGGCGCCGGCCGCCCUCCCCCGGCCUGGUGCGUCCCGACAGCCUGGCAUCUCCGCGCCGCGGGCCAGACCUCCACCGGCCCGGCGCGACCUGUGGCUGCUGCACCGGGAACGUGGAGGUGCCCAGGCCUCGGGGUCCCCCGGAGCCGUGGCACUCCGGGCUCCAGGGGCCUGGGCUCCCAAAGCAGAGCCCCUGCGCUUGGCAGGAAAUCUAAACCCAGCUCAGGAGGGCCUGAGUUACUAUCCCGUUUUGAUUAUUUUCUGAUGCUGAAUAAUAAUCCUCCGGUCACCCCACCCCUGCCUUCCCACUCUCCCCCGACCCCCUGCGGUUUUGCCUAGGGUCGGAGUUCCUCCAAAUCUCUGGUCCCAGGGAGCAGAACUUUUGAGUCCCCGGCCUCCUCCUCCGCCGGCCGCCGGUCAGAACCUGGUGGGUGGAACUGGGCAUCCAAAGGAGACUGAGGCCGAUGGGGAGGGUGGGGACUGCCAGCACGCAGGUGGGAGGCAGAGGUCCCAUGAUUCAGUCAUCGCCAGGUUGGGUUUGGUUAUGAAGUGUGAUAUUUAUUGUCAUUAUUAAUUACUGCUGGCAUCACUACACAAAGCCUAGGGCUGCCAGCUGGGUGGAGGCCCUGCCCGGAGAGUGCUCCCUUCCCUCUCACUAAAGGUGAAGCAGGCAAUAUCCACUUUCCUGACCCAGGACCGGGAACUGGUCUUGGGGAGCCAGGUGCCAUGUUUUUUUGGGGGGGUUCUGCAAGUCAUUUCUUUUCCCCCCUGUAGAGGUAGCUUUCCCCACUCUAGGCUCACCUAAGCCUUUUCUACCUCUUUGCAGUAUGGGUGGAUAAGAACCUUGGGGUGGCAGAUUAGAGAGACUGCAUUGGCUUCCCUGCAGUGGGGAUUCUUUCCGUAUCUUAUGCUGCCCCCCAUGUUCUAUGGUGAAGUUGGAGACUGGACUCUGAAUUCCAAAGGGCAAACCAACAUCUUCGGUUUCGUCACCUCAUGCUGGGCCCCGGAUGUUAAAGAAGCCUCUCUUUUCUCAUGGCCCCACUCCAAAUAAGGUGAACUCCAAACCCUUCCACCUUAUCUAAUCCUUCCCCCUCACCCAGCCUCCAGGGAUAGGGAAAAUCAGGGCAUCAGAAGGAAAGGGAUCAUUUCUGCUCCCCAAAAGGUGGAAGAGAUACAUAAAUUUCCAACACACUAGACAGACAGGAUCUGGGCUUCCCCUGGGGUUUGCUGGUAUCACUAGAUGUGCAGACAAUGCCAGUUCUAGGGUCAGAGUCCAGAUGCCACUGCCACAGAGCUGGUCUCAGCUCAGAGACCUUUCUGUUUUACUUUUCUUGGGCCAGGUGGAGGUGGAGGGGGGAGUGCUAAGGGGAAGCAGAAAAGGAGGUGAUAAGCUUUUAGAGAUCUGCUAAGUAACUCAUGCUCCUUUAAGUCAAUUAAAGAGGGGAAAGUGCCCCCUCAAAUAAAAAACUACUGCAUUUGCCACCCAGAAUUACAACCUCUGCACUCAGUCAUGUUGAAAAUAUGCAGAGAAUCAGAACCAAGAGUUGUCUGCCCAUAUGCAGCCCUCCAGUUUCCUGCACUUGCCCAAUAGCACUGCGUAUAUACUCCACAAAGAAGAAGGGUUAGCAACUAAUUUUGAAGUGUUUACAGUCUAGAAGGUUGGCGCUUCUGUAGAGCCGGUUAGGCAAAGUACCACAGACAGCUUCGAAGAUGGAGAGGGAUGCUUGAUCCUUUCUCUGCAAAUGUGCCCAGGCUCACAUUGUCCUCUAGCCUUCACAGUGAGUUUGUAAAGAAGGGAGUCAUUCUGGUCCACGGACUGAAGGAAUUACCUCUGUUGGAAUCCUGACGCCACCACUUUCUAACUGUGUGACCAGGGCAAAUUGCCUCACCCUCUCUGUGCCUCGGUUUUCUCAUCUGUGACAUGGGGAUGAUAAAAGUACCUCCCCCUUUCAGGAUUGUUAAGGGGAUUGAAUGAUUUCUUAUAGGUAGAGUGCUAAGAGUACCUGGCACAUAGCAAGCACUCCGUAAGUGUGAACUAUUAUUACCGAUAACUGUACUGUAAUAGACUUGCAUGUACCACAACAAAUUUCAAUUUCUUGUGUGACCCAGCUGUUCCCCAGAGCUAAAUAAUUUGCAGGAAAGAACAUUUUUGCGCACCAACUUGAAGUCCUGCCAUUCAUUAAAGGUCUCAGGCUUUUUCUACA